GAUGAACGCUGGCGGCGUGCCUAAUACAUGCAAGUCGAGCGAACAGACGAGGAGCUUGCUCCUCUGACGUUAGCGGCGGACGGGUGAGUAACACGUGGAUAACCUACCUAUAAGACUGGGAUAACUUCGGGAAACCGGAGCUAAUACCGGAUAAUAUAUUGAACCGCAUGGUUCAAUAGUGAAAGACGGUUUUGCUGUCACUUAUAGAUGGAUCCGCGCCGCAUUAGCUAGUUGGUAAGGUAACGGCUUACCAAGGCAACGAUGCGUAGCCGACCUGAGAGGGUGAUCGGCCACACUGGAACUGAGACACGGUCCAGACUCCUACGGGAGGCAGCAGUAGGGAAUCUUCCGCAAUGGGCGAAAGCUUGACGGAGCAACGCCGCCUGAGUGAUGAAGGUCUUCGGAUCGUAAAACUCUGUUAUUAGGGAAGAACAAAUGUGUAAGUAUCUAUGCACGUCUUGACGGUACCUAAUCAGAAAGCCACGGCUAACUACGUG
rnacentral:rRNA from 1 species